rnacentral:rRNA from 1 species
CCUACGGGAGGCAGCAGUGAGGAAUAUUGGUCAAUGGUCGGGAGACUGAACCAGCCAAGCCGCGUGAGGGAUGAAGGUACAGAGUAUCGUAAACCUCUUUUGUCAGGGAACAAAGGCGGGGACGUGUCCCCGGAUGAGUGUACCUGAAGAAAAAGCAUCGGCUAACUCCGUGCCAGCAGCCGCGGUAAUACGGAGGAUGCGAGCGUUAUCCGGAUUUAUUGGGUUUAAAGGGUGCGCAGGCGGCUUGUUAAGUCAGCGGUAAAAGCCCGGGGCUCAACCCCGGCCCGCCGUUGAAACUGGCAGUCUCGAGUUGGAGAGAAGUAUGCGGAAUGCGCGGUGUAGCGGUGAAAUGCAUAGAUAUCGCGCAGAACUCCGAUUGCGAAGGCAGCAUGCCGGCUCCACACUGACGCUGAGGCACGAAAGCGUGGGUAUCGAACAGGAUUAGAUACCCUUGUAGUC